AUGCGUGUGCAAGGGAAGUUGUCAAAGGCAGACGACAAGCAGGAGCUGGCCGCUGGACAAGGAGCAGCCAUUCACACCUGGAGCUGCUGUGCUUCCCGGAGCUCCACCCUAGACCGAGAAAAGCCCCACCUCUGGAACGGGCCUCCCUCUCCAGUCUUGCCCUCUGAGCCCCAGAGCUCAACCCCAGGCCCUGACCCCCACCACACAGACGUGGUCAGCCACACCCCCGGGCCAGGUGCUGCUCACACGCAGGCUCCCGCUCAGUGCCCAGGGAGUGAAAUGGGUCUGGCAUCACGGCCCAGGUCUAGCGUUCUCAGCUCGCCACAGAACCCCCUGGCAGCUGGCUCCCCGCCCCUGGGGCCGCCUCCCAUUCCUCCCCUGACCCAGGCCAAGCCCCUUCCCCUACUCACGAAGCAAGCCAGAAGACCUCUGCCAGAGACUUUAGGGACCGGUAGAGACCGCCUCGGACCAGAACUUUGCCACAGAGACCGCCCUCCACCACCUCCCACACCCUACCGGAAACGGAAGCUCUGCGUGCCUACUCACUUUGGCCGGAAGCGGAAAUGGGGGGCAGCCCUCCCAGGGCCGGAAACGCAACCGCCAGGCAUGCAUUUUCCCCUGUCGCCAGGGGUCCAGUGGCUGUGGGAGGGUGCGCAGGACAGCUCCUGGCUUCCACAACGAAGAAUUAUCAGUAGCUCCGUGGUUGGGAAAAACUGCAGAGGGGCCGGGAGUAGAUGACUGGACAAGAAACAGGUGA
rnacentral:lncRNA from 1 species